UACGUAGGCAGCAAGCGUUGUUCGGAGUUACUGGGCGUAAAGCGCGCGCAGGUGGUUCGUUAAGUAGGGCGUGAAAAUCUCCCGGCCUAACUGGGGAGGGGGUCGCCCCUAGACUGGCGGACUUGAGGCUGGCAGAGGUAGGUGGAAUUCCUGGUGUAGUGGUGAAAUGCGUAGAGAUCAGGAGGAACACCGGUGGCGAAGGCGGGUCUCUGGGCCGAUACUGACGCUGAGGAGCGAAAGCGUGGGGGAGCAAACAGG
rnacentral:rRNA from 1 species